rnacentral:lncRNA from 1 species
CUUUGCUGUUCCCACACUUCCACUUCUCUCUGCAAAUACGUGGCUUAUUAAACAAUGAGCUGGGUUUGUCUCUCCUGUGGCUGCAGGCAGGAUCCCAGGCUGUGUUGGCAGGAAAAGGAUAAGUUGUCUGACUUUCUGAAGGAGUGCAGAGUGGACGCCAUUUGCCAAGAACACUCUGCUCUUCUCACCUGCACCCAGUGACCGGGCAAAGGUGCAAGGAGAUCCCAUGCUGUUCUAUGAAGACAUUUUCUGCCUUGAGCCAAAGCAACCCAGUGCUGCCCUGGCUCUUCAUCUCUGCAAUGUGGACCAGCAGCCCCUCGCUGCAGAUUCCAAGGCCAUGGCGCUCAAUGUAGGGCAGGAACUUCAUCUCUGCAUCCAGUUUAACCCAGUUUAUGAGAACAAUCUGAAUAGCUGGGUGGCCAAGAGGGUUCUCCAGGAUGUGCUUCAUGGAGCAUCCUCAAGAGGAGCAGGUCACUGUUCAGGGAGAAGUCUACAUCCCAAAUCUCCAGACCCAGGCCAUGGACUUUGGCUGCAACAGGAAUGA